rnacentral:sRNA from 1 species
GAGGCUAUGCUUGUGGUGCUUUGGUUG